UCCGGAUUUAUUGGGCGUAAAGCGAACGCAGGCGGUUUUUUAAGUCUGAUGUGAAAGCCUUCGGCUCAACCGGAGAAGUGCAUUGGAAACUGGGAAACUUGAGUGCAGAAGAGGACAGUGGAACUCCAUGUGUAGCGGUGAAAUGCGUAGAUAUAUGGAAGAACACCAGUGGCGAAAGCGGCUGUCUGGUCUGUAACUGACGCUGAGGCUCGAAAGUAUGGGGAGCAAACAGGAUUAGAUACCCUGGUAGUCCAUGCCGUAAACGAUGAAUGCUAAGUGUUGGAGGGUUUCCGCCCUUCAGUGCCGCAGCUAACGCAUUAAGCAUUCCGCCUGGGGAGUACGGCCGCAAGGCUGAAACUCAAAGGAAUUGACGGGGGCCCGCACAAGCGGUGGAGCAUGUGGUUUAAUUCGAAGCUACGCGAAGAACCUUACCAGGUCUUGACAUACUAUGCACAUCUAAGAGAUUAGACGUUCCCUUCGGGGACAAAAAUACAGGUGGUGCAUGGCUGUCGUCAGCUCGUGUCGUGAGAUGUUGGGUUAAGUCCCGCAACGAGCGCAACCCUUAUUAUCAGUUGCCAGCAUUAAGUUGGGCACUCUGGUGAGACUGCCGGUGACAAACCGGAGGAAGGUGGGGAUGACGUCAAAUCAUCAUGCCCCUUAUGACCUGGGCUACACACGUGCUACAAUGGAUGGUACAACGAGUUGCGAACCCGCGAGAGUAAGCUAAUCUCUUAAAGCCAUUCUCAGUUCGGAUUGUAGGCUGCAACUCGCCUACAUGAAGUCGGAAUCGCUAGUAAUCGCGGAUCAGCAUGCCGCGGUGAAUACGUUCCCGGGCCUUGUACACACCGCCCGUCACACCAUGAGAGUU
rnacentral:rRNA from 2 species